UAAAGACAUUGGGUACCGAUGAGUUAUAUUAUCUAAAGGAGCAAUUUUCGCUAUUAGAACCGAGCAAAACCGGAUCCAUAAGCAUGGAGAAUAUCAAAACGGCCUUGUUGAAGCAUGCUACAGACGCAAUGAAGGAGUCACGAGUCCAUGAUUUUCUAACAUCGCGGCAUUAUGUGUGCUUCAGCUUGAGGCUCUUGAUAGAUGGGAGGAGACUGCACGUUCCGUGUAUGAAAUAUUUGAGUACAAACAUGCAGAAACUUAAUAUACAAGAAGAAAGACAGUUUGAUGAACCUGAAGAAGACAUCCCUUCUGUAGUGAUUCCGAACCACCUGCAAGUUCAGACUGCUGAUUGCUCGCACUUGAGUUUCGGGAGCUUUAGUUCAAGAACGCUAAGGUGGUUGAGGCGUUACAAAAGGAACUGGAGAAUGCUCGAGUUCAGAUUCAGAGUGUUGAUCCUUCAUAUGACCCUUGAAAGGAUUUGGAACACAAAAGAAUCACAUUAUUUUGUUUGUGUGGAUAUAUAAUCACAGCAUCUUACCAGGGGCAGAUUUAGAUGUUAAUGGUCAUAGCACUUCAAACAGCAGCAAUUUACAACUGAACUAAGGGCAAAAAUGCAAGCAGGUGAAGGUGCCUUGGCCGUUGCGGGUGUUCGACAAAGAACAUCAAGUUUGUUGUCACCUAUGUCCGAGCGACAGACGCUUA